GAUGAACGCUGGCGGCGUGCCUAAUACAUGCAAGUCGAGCGAACAGACGAGGAGCUUGCUCCUCUGACGUUAGCGGCGGACGGGUGAGUAACACGUGGAUAACCUACCUAUAAGACUGGGAUAACUUCGGGAAACCGGAGCUAAUACCGGAUAAUAUAUUGAACCGCAUGGUUCAAUAGUGAAAGACGGUUUUGCUGUCACUUAUAGAUGGAUCCGCGCCGCAUUAGCUAGUUGGUAAGGUAACGGCUUACCAAGGCGACGAUGCGUAGCCGACCUGAGAGGGUGAUCGGCCACGCUGGAACUGAGACACGGUCCAGACUCCUACGGGAGGCAGCAGUAGGGAAUCUUCCGCAAUGGACGAAAGCCUGACGGAGCAACGCCGAGUGAGUGAUGAAGGUCUUCGGAUCGUAAAACUCUGUUAUUAGGGAAGAACAAAUGUGUAAGUAACUAUGCACGUCUUGACGGUACCUGAUCAGAAAGCCACGGCUAACUACGUG
rnacentral:rRNA from 1 species